rnacentral:misc_RNA from 1 species
GAUGAAGAACGUAGCGAAAUGCGAUAAGUAAUGUGAAUUGCAGAAUUCAGUGAAUCAUCGAAUCUUUGAACGCACCUUGCGCUCCUUGGUAUUCCGAGGAGCAUGCCUGUUUGAGUGUCAUGAAAUUCUCAACCUUUUCAGCUUUCUUUGUUGAUCAGGCUUGGAUGUGGGAGUAUGCGGGCUUCUCAGAAGUCGGCUCUCCUGAAAUGCAUUAGCGGGACCUUUGUUACCUGGCUUUGGUGUGAUAAUUAUCUACGCCAUUGUAGUCAAGCAGCUUAAAAUGAGGUUUCAGCUUCUAACCGUCUCCCCUGAGACAACUUUUUGACAAUUUGACCUCAAAUCAGGUAGGACUACCCGCUGAACUUAAGCAUAUCAAUAAGCGGAGGA